UACGUAGGGUGCAAGCGUUGUCCGGAAUUAUUGGGCGUAAAGAGCUCGUAGGCGGUCUGUCGCGUCGGCUGUGAAAACCCGAGGCUCAACCUCGGGCCUGCAGUCGAUACGGGCAAACUAGAGUACUGCAGGGGAGACUGGAAUUCCUGGUGUAGCGGUGAAAUGCGCAGAUAUCAGGAGGAACACCGGUGGCGAAGGCGGGUCUCUGGGCAGUAACUGACGCUGGAGGAGC
rnacentral:rRNA from 1 species